GAUGAACGCUGGCGGCGUGCCUAAUACAUGCAAGUCGAGCGAACAGACGAGGAGCUUGCUCCUCUGACGUUAGCGGCGGACGGGUGAGUAACACGUGGAUAACCUAUAUAUAAGACUGGGAUAACUUCGGGAAACCGGAGCUAAUACCGGAUAAUAUAUUGAACCGCAUGGUUCAAUAGUGAAAGACGGUUUUGCUGUCACUUAUAGAUGGAUCCACGCCGCAUUAACUAGUUGGUAAGGUAACGGCUUACCAAGGCAACGAUGCGUAGCCGACCUGAGAGGGUGAUCGGCCACACUGGAACUGAGACACGGUCCAGACUCCUACGGGAGGCAGCAGUAGGGAAUCUUCCGCAAUGGACGAAAGCCUGACGGAGCAACGCCGCGUGAGUGAUGAAGGUCUUCGGAUCGUAAAACUCUGUUAUUAGGGAAGAACAAAUGUGUAAGUAACUAUGCACGUCUUGACGGUACCUAAUCAGAAAGCCACGGCUAACUACGUG
rnacentral:rRNA from 1 species